rnacentral:lncRNA from 1 species
UCACAAAGAAGAUUCUGACAAUGGAACAUUUUUUUUGGCUUCUUUCCACAAGAAGAGGAGGGGGAGACCUCAGACAAGAGCAAAUCACUCCUAAAACACGAUAAACUACACGUGUUUCCAGUAGGGAGAGACGCCGAAAGGAGCCUGUUUGCGUACUGCGGCUGCCCUGUGAUUCUGGAUCUUGUCUCCUGGCCGGCGCCUCGAUUCCUACCCAGCUGGAUUGGGGGGCAACACUGCCUGGCGCAGCCAAGAGAGCGAGUGAGUAUCGCGGCGGCCCGCAGGCGGCAACUCGGCCGGCGGCGCGGGGCCAGCGUGCCUGCCGCGGCCCGGCGCCCGCGCUCCUUGCCUCGCCCGCGAGUCGGGGCCCGCAGAGCCCCGCUGCGGGCCGCUCCGAGGGCCAGUCCGGGGCUUUGCUUUAGCUAAUUGAUUGUGUGUCUCGGAUGCGAAACCUGUUGAUCUCUUGAGUUGUCUGAGCCGGGACUGUUAAUUAUCCAGUGGCUUGAUCACCCCCGCGCCCUCCCCCCGCCCCCAAUGAAGAAUGCCAGGAAAUUUUCGCCGUGGAAAGGGGAAUGUUGUAUGUAAUUUUGUGUUGUCGAUAGUGGGACUUUUCCCUCUUAAGCCUAGAGCAAUUUUUUUUUUUUUCCGUUCCUGGGUUCAGGAUUCGCGUUUUAAAUAAUUCUUUUAACCACCUCAAAGUUGAAAUUACCUGGCAAUGAAGUGAGAGGGUCGGAUUGGAUUCUAGCGGAAACUUAGGCACAGUGUCUAACUAGAACCGGUGGAUUUCCACUUCCCGUUUCUCUUCGGGCCUUUUGGAUUUAGGGAAGCGAGAGGCCGCUUUGCAGGGUUAUCCCAAGUUCAGAUUCAUCAAGAUGCAACCAUCGCGGUUACUUUGGAGCGUUUCAGCUUCUGACUUUUCUGGUGUCUGAGCGAAAGCCGGGUCUCUGCGGUUUGCUCCGAGCCCAGACCUCGCUGAGGAAGGCGAGACCUUCCUUCCUGGGCUUGGAAUUGUCUGCGGGAACCAAGGGCGGUGG